rnacentral:rRNA from 1 species
UACGUAGGGCGCAAGCGUUAUCCGGAAUUAUUGGGCGUAAAGCGCGUGUAGGCGGCCAGAUAGGUCUGCUGUGAAAACUCGAGGCUCAACCUCGAGCUGUCGGCGGAAACCAUCUGGCUAGAGUCCGGAAGAGGAGAGUGGAAUUCCUGGUGUAGCGGUGAAAUGCGCAGAUAUCAGGAAGAACACCUAUGGCGAAGGCAGCUCUCUGGGACGGUACUGACGCUGAGACGCGAAAGCGUGGGGAGCGAACAGG